AUUGAACGCUGGCGGUAUGCUUAACACAUGCAAGUCGAACGGUAACAGGCCCAGCUUGCUGGGUGCUGACGAGUGGCGGACGGGUGAGUAACGCGUAGGAAUCUACCUUGUAGAGGGGGAUAACCUGGGGAAACCCAGGCUAAUACCGCAUACAUCCUAAGGGAAAAAGUCUGGGACCUUCGGGCCAGGCGCUAUAAGAUGAGCCUGCGUCAGAUUAGCUAGUUGGUGGGGUAAAGGCCUACCAAGGCGAAGAUCUGUAGCUGUUCUGAGAGGAAGAUCAGCCACACUGGGACUGAGACACGGCCCAGACUCCUACGGGAGGCAGCAGUGGGGAAUAUUGGACAAUGGGCGGAAGCCUGAUCCAGCAAUACCGCGUGUGUGAAGAAGGCCUGCGGGUUGUAAAGCACUUUCAGUGGGGAGGAAGGGUAAUGCUUUAAUAGAGUAUUGCAUUGACGUUACCCACAGAAGAAGCACCGGCUAACUCUG
rnacentral:rRNA from 1 species